rnacentral:rRNA from 1 species
GACAGAGGGUGCAAACGUUGUUCGGAAUCACUGGGCGUAAAGCGCGUGUAGGCGGCUUCUCAAGUCGGGUGUGAAAUCCCAGGGCUCAACCCUGGAAGUGCAUUCGAAACUGGGUAGCUAGAGUACUGGAGAGGAAGGUGGAAUGCUUGGUGUAGAGGUGAAAUUCGUAGAUAUCAAGCGGAACACCGGUGGAGAAGGCGGCCUUCUGGACAGAUACUGACGCUGAGACGCGAAAGCGUGGGGAGCAAACAGG